CUGCAACUGCAAAUGGAAUAUUUGAAAACUUAUUCUAAUAUUCCUAUAUUGCUACUUCAUCAUGAAGUUGUUGCUAUAAAAAUUACUCUAGUUUGAGGGAGGGAACCCAAAUCGUGGUUUCUUCCUAUAGAAUGAGUGUACAAUU
rnacentral:snoRNA from 15 species